GGAAUUUCCCGUCCUGAUUUCCAGCUGCCUCCAGUCAGUUACUUCUAAGGUGCCCACCAGAGUACUUCAGGAUAACUGCUCCCUCAAGUUCAAAUAAUUUCCUCUGUCACUGCAUGCAUCACACAGGAAUCUGUGAGGAGUCAGGUCCUGUAAACCAGCCAUCAUCAGCAACAUCACGUAAUGAAGUCCUAGAACUGCAGGCUUCUCUGCUUCAGUGCUCUUGGGAGAGAAGUGCUGUGUCUGAACUGCCAUGCACAGAAAAAAGGAAAUAUUUCAGCACUGGUUCACCAGGAGGCCAGCUGGUUGUCAGCAUAAGAAAAAAGUCCUCCUAGGAAAUGCACUCUUCCCACCAAGGAUGGCAUGAAAAUGGCCAUAAUUGCUGGCAGGAUGAAGCUAUGUCAUUUGAACUUUAGAGGGAUACAAGCAUUUCAAACGUUUGAAUGCAGCCAUGGUGGCAAAAUGAAGGGAAGAGAAGGAAGAAGGCUACGUGCUUGACACUGAGUUCACACCAUUCUAGGUAAAAGCAAGAAGAGACACAGAUUUAUCCAUUUUUGAUUUGCAGGUUGAACCUUGCUGUUGAUCAAAGUGCAUUUACUUGUUUUUAGUAUUGUAAGCUUCUUUCCCUUGCCUUGUUACCAUGUUCAACUACUUAUUUUAAUUGCAAGGAAAAGAAAGCCACUGAUCUGCAUAAAGGUUAUAAGGAAAUGUGCACAAAUGUGCAAAAACUCAAGUGUUUACAUGAACCAGUUAAAUAGCUCCCCAUGUCCUUAAUGAGCAAGCACAGGAAUUCAAUUAACUGAUAUUUUAUUUGUUAAAUGAACUGACCUUUAUCCAAUGCAAUCUAUAAAAUUAAUUUGGCAC
rnacentral:lncRNA from 1 species